UGAAUACGAGACGCUAAGGCGUCGAAGUAGUGUAUGUCAUACUUCCAAGAAAAGUUUGCACUGUCAUAAGUAAAAAAUGCCUGUACCAUAACCGACACAGGUGGGUAGGUAGAGUAUACUAAGGGGCGCGAGAUAACUCUCUCUAAGGAACUCGGCAAAAUAACUCCGUAACUUCGGGAGAAGGAGUACCUUAUUCUAUAAGGUUGCAAUAACAAGAUCCAAGCAACUGUUUAUCAAAAACACAGGUCUCCGCUAAGUCGUAAGACGAUGUAUGGGGGCUGACGCCUGCCCAGUGCCAGAAGGUUAAAGAAGUCGGUUAGCAUUAGCGAAGCUGGUAACUGAAGCCCUGGUGAACGGCGGCCGUAACAAUAACGGUCCUAAGGUAGCGAAAUUCCUUGUCGGGUAAGUUCCGACCCGCACGAAAGGCGUAAUGAUUUGGAUACUGUCUCGGAGAGGGGCUCGGUGAAAUAGACUUGUCUGUGAAGAUGCGGACUACCUGCACCAGGACAGAAAGACCCUAUGAAGCUUUACUGUAACUUGAAAUUGAAAUUGGACUUUAUUCGCGCAGUAUAGGUGGGAGGUGUUGAUUAUAAUCUUGCGGGAUUAUUGGAGCCAUCAGUGAGAUACCACUCUUGUAAUGUUAGAUUUCUAACUUUGAAUCAUUAUCUGGUCAAAGGACAGUUUCAGGCGGGCAGUUUGACUGGGGCGGUCGCCUCCCAAACGGUAACGGAGGCGUACAAAGGUUUCCUCUGAACGGGUAGAAAUCGUAUCUAGAGUGUAAAGGCAUAAGGAAGCUUGACUGUGAGACCUACAAGUCGAACAGGGACGAAAGUCGGUCUUAGUGAUCUGACGGUACUGAGUGGAAAGGCCGUCACUCAACGGAUAAAAGUUACUCUAAGGAUAACAGGCUGAUCUCCCCCAAGAGUUCACAUCGACGGGGAGGUUUGGCACCUCGAUGUCGGCUCAUCGCAUCCUGGGGCGGUAGUACGUCCCAAGGGUUGGGCUGUUCGCCCAUGAAAGCGGUACGCGAGCUGGGUUCAGAACGUCGUGAGACAGUUCGGUCCAUAUCCGGUGUAGGCGUUAGAAUAUUGAGAGGAGCCUUCUUUAGUACGAGAGGACCGAGAAGGACAUACCUCUGGUGUACCAGUUAUCGUGCCAACGGUAAACGCUGGGUAGCUAUGUAUGGAGUGGAUAACCGCUGAAAGCAUCUAAGUGGGAAGCCCACCUCAAGAUAAGUAUUCUCAC
rnacentral:rRNA from 1 species